UCGAGCGGAGUUUUGAAAAGCUUGCUUUUCAAAACUUAGCGGCGGACGGGUGAGUAACACGUGGGCAACCUGCCCUUGAGACGGGGAUAACUCCGGGAAACCGGAGCUAAUACCGGAUAACACAUAUCUUCGCAUGAGGAUAUGUUAGAAGGUGGCUUUUAGCUACCACUCAAGGAUGGGCCCGCGGCGCAUUAGCUAGUUGGUGAGGUAACGGCUCACCAAGGCGACGAUGCGUAGCCGACCUGAGAGGGUGAUCGGCCACACUGGGACUGAGACACGGCCCAGACUCCUACGGGAGGCAGCAGUAGGGAAUCUUCCGCAAUGGACGAAAGUCUGACGGAGCAACGCCGCGUGAGUGAUGAAGGUUUUCGGAUCGUAAAGCUCUGUUGUUAGGGAAGAACAAGUACCUGUUAAAUAAGCAGGUACCUUGACGGUACCUAACCAGAAAGCCACGGCUAACUACGUGCCAGCAGCCGCGGUAAUACGUAGGUGGCACGCGUUGUCCGGAAUUAUUGGGCGUAAAGCGCGCGC
rnacentral:rRNA from 2 species